CAGUAGAUGCACCCUGAUCCAAUCCCCUGCCACUAGGUCAGGGGAUUUUUUU
rnacentral:sRNA from 1 species